UACAGAGGGGGCAAGCGUUGUUCGGAAUUACUGGGCGUAAAGGGCGCGUAGGCGGCCUUCUAAGUCGAACGUGAAAUCCCCGGGCUCAACCCGGGAACUGCGUGCGAUACUGGAAGGCUUGAAUCCGGGAGAGGGAUGCGGAAUUCCAGGUGUAGCGGUGAAAUGCGUAGAUAUCUGGAGGAACACCGGUGGCGAAGGCGGCAUCCUGGACCGGAAUUGACGCUGAGGCGCGAAAGCCAGGGGAGCAAACGGG
rnacentral:rRNA from 1 species